rnacentral:rRNA from 1 species
UACAGAGGGGGCAAGCGUUUGUUCGGAAUUACUGGGCGUAAAGGGCGCGUAGGCGGCCCGCUAAGUCGAACGUGAAAUCCCCCGAGCUCAACUCGGGGAACUGCGUCCGAUACUGGCGGGCUUGAAUCCGGGAGAGGGAUGCGGAAUUCCAGGUGUAGCGGUGAAAUGCGUAGAUAUCUGGAGGAACACCGGUGGCGAAGGCGGAUCUCUGGGCCAUUACUGACGCUGAGGAGCGAAAGCGUGGGGAGCGAACAGG